GCAACCUGGCGGCGAGUGGCGAACGGGUGAGUAAUAUAUCGGAACGUACCCUGGAGUGGGGGAUAACGUAGCGAAAGUUACGCUAAUACCGCAUACGAUCUAAGGAUGAAAGUGGGGGAUCGCAAGACCUCAUGCUCCUGGAGCGGCCGAUAUCUGAUUAGCUAGUUGGUAGGGUAAAAGCCUACCAAGGCAUCGAUCAGUAGCUGGUCUGAGAGGACGACCAGCCACACUGGAACUGAGACACGGUCCAGACUCCUACGGGAGGCAGCAGUGGGGAAUUUUGGACAAUGGGCGAAAGCCUGAUCCAGCAAUGCCGCGUGAGUGAAGAAGGCCUUCGGGUUGUAAAGCUCUUUUGUCAGGGAAGAAACGGUGAGGGCUAAUAUCUCUUGCUAAUGACGGUACCUGAAGAAUAAGCACCGGCUAACUACGUGCCAGCAGCCGCGGUAAUACGUAGGGUGCAAGCGUUAAUCGGAAUUACUGGGCGUAAAGCGUGCGCAGGCGGUUUUGUAAGUCUGUCGUGAAAUCCCCGGGCUCAACCUGGGAAUGGCGAUGGAGACUGCAAGGCUAGAGUUUGGCAGAGGGGGGUAGAAUUCCACGUGUAGCAGUGAAAUGCGUAGAUAUGUGGAGGAACACCGAUGGCGAAGGCAGCCCCCUGGGUCAAGACUGACGCUCAUGCACGAAA
rnacentral:rRNA from 1 species